rnacentral:rRNA from 1 species
GAAACUUAAAGGAAUUGGCGGGGGAGCACUACAACGGGUGGAUGCUGCGGUUUAAUUGGAUUCAACGCCGGAAAGCUUACCGGAAGCGACAGCAGGAUGAAGGUCAGGCUGAAGACCUUACCAGACUUGCUGAGAGGAGGUGCAUGGCCGCCGCCAGUUCGUAUCGUGAGACAUCCUGUUAAGUCAGGCAACGAGCGAGACCCGCGCCUAUAGUUGCCAGCAUACCCGUUCUUCGGAAUGGAUGAUGGGUACUCUAUAGGGACCGCUGGUGCUAAACCAGAGGAGGGAGCGGGCAACGGUAGGUCAGUAUGCCCCGAAUCCUCCGGGCUACACGCGGCAUACAAUGGACGGGACAAUGGGAAUCGACCCCGAGAGGGGAGGGUAAUCUCCAAACCUGUUCGAAGUUCGGAUUGAGGGCUGAAAUUCGCCCUCAUGAAGCUGGAAUCCGUAGUAAUCGCGCCUCAAAAUGGCGCGGUGAAUCUGUCCCUGCUCCUUGCACACACCGCCCGUCAAACCAACCGAGUGAGAUCCGGAUGAGGCGGCUCCUCUCAGGAGCAUUCAAAUCUGGGUUUCGCAAGGGGGGUUAAGUCGUAACAA